rnacentral:rRNA from 1 species
UGACAGGAGACAUAAGGGCAUACGGUGGAUGCCUUGGCUUGAAGAGGCGAAGAAAGACGUGGCACGACUGCGAAAAGCUUCGGGGAGGUGUCUAGCAACCUUUGAUCCGGAGAUAUCUGAAUGGGGAAACCCUACCGAAUAAACUUCGGUAACCCUACUUUACUGUGGGGGGCACACCCAGGGAAUUGAAACAUCUUAGUACCUGGAGGAAAAGAAACCAAUAUGCGGGUCCUGUACUGUGGUGGCACUUGUGUCGCUACGGUACAAGAUCCCGGCAUUUCCUGAGUAGCGGCGAGCGAAACGGAAGGAGCCCAAACCAAGCGCAUCACAUUACAUGUGAUGCACGGGACUCGUAUACGGACCCCGUAUACGUGAGCAUCGCGCGUAGCGUGAUGCGCUUGGGGUUGUAGGGCAACAGCGUCUUAACGAGGAGAGUCAAAAAAUGUCAUUGUUAGUGGAACGUGCUGGAAAGCACGGCCCCAGAGGGUAACAGCCCCGUACACGAAAACAAUAACGUCUCUUUUGCUGUUGUUCCUGAGUAGCGUCGGACAUGAAUAGCUGGCGCGAAUCCGGGUGGACUAACACCCAAGGCUAAAUACUCUUCAAGACCGAUAGUGAACUAGUACCGUGAGGGAAAGGUGAAAAGAACCCCGGAAGGGGAGUGAAAUAGAUCUGAAACCGUAUGCUUACAAGGAGUCGGAGGGGUUGCAUCACAUUGCAUAUGAUGCGCGGGAUUCGUAUACGGAUUAUCGUAUACGGGUGCACGUAGCAAAGCUACGUGCCGUCCCAAACUGCGUAUACGAAUCCCGUAUACGUGAACAUCACACGCAGUGUGAUGUGACCCUGACGGCGUGCCUAUUGAAGAAUGAGCCGGCGAGUUUACGCAUGUGGCCGCCUAAGGGGAGACCCCCGGAGGCACAGGGAAACCGAGUCUGAAUAGGGCGAAAAAAUAUGGUCGCAUACGUAAGACCCGAAGCAAGGUGAGCUUACCAUGAGCAGGGUGAAGCGACCGUAACAGGUCGUGGAGGCCCGAACCGGUACGCUGUACAACACGUUCGGAUGACUUGUGGUAAGGAGUGAAAAGCUAAUCGAACCUUGCAAUAGCUGGUUCUCUCCGAAAUAGCUUAAGGGCUAGCGUCAUGUGUUCCCUCUGGGGGUAGAGCACUGGAAGGUCUGAACAGGGAGAAAUCUCGUCAGACCUAUCAAACUCCGAAUACCAGAGGUCAAAAAUAUGGCAGUCAGACUGUGGGGGCUAAGCUCCAUUGGUCGAAAGGGAAACAGCCCAGAUCGCCAGUUAAGGUCCCUAAAUCCAUGCUCAGUGCAUCGCAAGGAGGUGGGGUUUCUGUGACAAUCAGGAGGUUGGCUUAGAAGCAGCCAUCCUUUAAAGAUAGCGUAACAGCUCACUGAUCCAGAGACCCUGCGCCGAAGAUGAUCGGGGCUUAAGCAUGGUACCGAAACUGCGGAUGUCGUUCGCAUCACAUUACAUUCGAUACGAACACGUAUGGGAAUGCGUAUGGGUAUGGGGAGUCAAAACAGCGAAGCUUGUUUUGACCGCAUACGCAUACGAGUCCCCCAUACGCGCGAGAUAUCGAGCGUAGCGUGAUGCGAACGGCGUGGUAGGAGAGCGUUCCGUUCUGCUGUGAAGGCGAAGGGGUAACCCACGCUGGAGCGUACGGAAGUGAGAAUGCCGGCGCGAGUAACCGCAAUGCAUGUGAGAUCCAUGCACGUCGAAAUCCCGAGGUUUCCUUGGCUAUGGUGAUCAGCCAAGGGUUAGUCGGGCCUAAGGGAAUCCUGAACAGGGGACCCGAUGGACAGAUGGUUAAUAUUCCAUCACCUCUUUCAAGUGCGAUGGAGGGACGGAGUGUAGUACUUCACGCGACUUAUCGGUUUGUCGUCCGUGCUGUAAGGAAGGUGCUUAGGCAAAUCCGGGCACCUGGCUUUAAUGCCAAUUCCAAGCAGAGCGGAAAGCUGACGGCUUCGGCCAACGGCAAUGUGAAGGAGCACACUUCCAAGAAAAGCUUCUAAGCUCUAGCUUGAGAGAGUCCGUACCGUAAACCGACACAGGUGGGAUGGUCGAGAAGACUAAGACGAACGAGUGAUUGCUCCCCAAGGAACUCGGCAAAAAAGCGACCGUAACUUAGGGAUAAGGUCUGCCAGUCGCAUCACACUGUGUGUGAUGCCCGGGACUCGUAUACGCAAUUCGUAUACGGGCGCAGGUGGUUGAAACCACAUGCGAACGCCCGAACCCCGUAUACGAACCCCGUAUACGGAAGCAUCGCGCUUGGCGCGAUGCGACUGGCCGCAGCGAAAGAUUGCCUGGCGACUGUUUACCAAAAACACAGCUCCCUGCGAACUCGUAAGAGGAUGUAUAGGGGGUGACACCUGACCAAUGCCAGAAGGUCAAUCACUGUUGGUGUAGUGUCGUAAGAUGCUAUGCUGGACGGUGCAAGCCCUGGUCAAUGUCAGCGAUAACUAUAAUCGUUCUAAGGUUCGUCGUGCCUCAUUUAUGAGGUGCGAUGAAGGACUAGAACGAUUAUAGAGUGGGUAAAUAGAAUCAACAUACAUCAUUACACAAAAGCUACCUUUGUAUCUGGCAACAGAUACAUAGUCCAGCUCACGGCUACAUAGAGACCAUACGCCGUGCUCCACAACAGUAUUGUUGUGGAUGAAGAUAUGGCCCUUCGUGAGGAAUAGAAGAGCGAAAUUCCUUGUCGGGUAAGUUCCGACGCGCACGAAUGGUGUAACGACUGGGCAACUGUCUCGGGGAGUAGCUCGGUGAAAACGCAAUGCCGGUAAAGAUGCCGGUUACCCGCGGCAAGACAGAAAGACCCCAUGGAGCUUUACUGCAGCUUCGUAUUGGGCUUGUGUGUUUAUUGCGUAGAAUAGGUGGGAGACUUUGAAGCAGUUCUUUUGGGGAUUGUGGAGUCGCCAGUGAAAUACCACUCUAUAAAUGUGCAAGUUCUAACCUACUUAGGCAAAACCUAAGAGAGACAGUGCGUGGCAGGCAGUUUUACUGGGGCGGUACCCUCCUAAAAAGUAACGGAGGGGUUCAAAGGUCAGCUAGGCGCGAAUGGAAACCGUGCCGAUAGUGUAAGAGCACAAGCUGGCUUGACUGCAAGGGGCGCAUCCCGAGCAGGUGCGAAAGCAGAAUCUAGUGAACCGAUGGUUCGCAUUAGAUGCGGCCAGAGAUUAACGGAUAAAAGUUACCCUGGGGAUAACAGGCUAGUUCCGCCCAAGCGUCCAAAGCGACGGCGGAGUUCGGCACCUCGAUGUCGGCUCACCACAUCCUGGGGGUGGAGAAGCUCCCAAGGGUUUGGCUGUUCGCCAAUUAAAGUGGUACGCGAGCUGGGUUCAGACCGUUCAGAAGUCUAAAGCAUAGACUGUUGAACAGUCUGAACCCGCAUUUGAGAGUUUUUGUUUUUCUGUCUUAUAUCGUUGUCUGUACAAGAAUACAGACAAAAAAAGUAUAGAGUCCAACCUCAUCACGGCGGUCCCAAACAUAUUUUAUGUUUGGAGCAAAAGUUGACUUAUAUCGGUAAAACCUUAGUCCGAGUAUGCGUAUGAAGUAUGCGUAUGAGGAAAGGCAAUACCGAGGGAAGCUUGAUUAUAUUUAAGCGCCCGUAGAGACUGAACGUCAGCUAUCCUAAACUCGCAAGAGUGAAGGAUAAAAUUACAGUCCAUCUCGUGUGGUAACACAUGAAAAAGAGCGUGAGACAGGUUGGUUCUCUAUCUGCCGUGGGCGUCGAUUCUUGAAGAGAUUUGUCCCUAGUACGAGAGGACCGGGAUGAACUGACCUCUGGUCUAUCGGCUGUCACACCAGUGGCACUGCCGAGUAGCUAUGUCGGGAAAGGAUAACCGCUGAAAGCAUCUAAGCGGGAAGCCAACUCUAAGAUUAGGAAUCAUUUGAGACCCGUAGGAGACGACUACGUUGAUAGGCACCAGGUGGAAGUGCAGUGAUGCAUUGAGCCGAGGUGUACUAAUUCGUCGAGUUUCCUGUUGGG